UACGUAGGGCGCAAGCGUUGUCCGGAAUUAUUGGGCGUAAAGAGCUCGUAGGCGGCCUGUUGCGUCCGCUGUGAAAACCCGGGGCUUAACCCCGGGCUUGCAGUGGAUACGGGCAGGCUGGAGGCAGGCAGGGGAGAACGGAAUUCCCGGUGUAGCGGUGAAAUGCGCAGAUAUCGGGAGGAACACCGGUGGCGAAGGCGGUUCUCUGGGCCUGUACUGACGCUGAGGAGCGAAGGCCAGGGGAGCAAACGGG
rnacentral:rRNA from 1 species